GGCCUGCCUCUUCUGAUGUCAUUUCCGUUCGGGGCCUGGUCAGCUGGGAACCGGAGAAAUACAGCAGAAGGAAAGAACAAACUGUUUUUCAGACAACUGAACUAUGACCAGCUCCCCAGUUUCACGAGUAGUCUAUAAUGGCAAGCGGCCGGCAAGCAACACUCGAUCUCCAAGUAGCAAUGAAAUCUUCACUCCAGCUCAUGAGGAGAAUGUGCGUUUUAUCUACGAAGCGUGGCAGUGUGUGGAGAGGGAUCUGCGAAAUCAAGUAUCUGGCAUGGACCGGGGAGUUGUAGAGGAGUAUGUGGAGAAGAACCCGAGCAACAGUCUGAAAUCCUUUAAACCCAUCGAUUUGAAUGAUUUGAAGAGAAGAACUGUACAGGACCCAAAGAAGUCAUAACCAGAGUGUGUGGCUUUAUACUUCUACUAUCUUUUAUCAUUUUCUUUUUUUUUUUUUACGCACUUUCAUUCGGCUCUCCACUUCUGACUUCUGAGGGGCUGCUCUGGGCAGAGUAGUCUUGCACUUGGAUUUUUACGUUUCUCAACCUACCCUCUCUGUGCCCUUCCCUUUAACCAAGCUGAUAGACCAACGGAUAAUAACAAACUUUUUUUUUUUUUACAUUUUUCAUUCAGAAGUUGUAUUCGUAGCAUUACUCUGCUCCUCUACCCCACUGCUGCUGGGGAUUACUCUUGGCAAAAUGCUCUGCUGCUUGGUAGGAAAUUUUAAUUGUUUUAUCCCCGUGAUAAGGGACUAUCACACUUUCUUUGGUAACCACCAUACAAGCAGAGAUUGUAGUAGUACACAGAAGGUGGUGGCUCAAACUGUCCUAAAGAGUGGAUACAGAGAAGGCAGAAGUAUCCAGUCAUGCACAAACUAUGCACAGCAUUUUUACAUGACACAUAUCUGGAUCUCUUGGAGCAUAGAGGCUGGAAGAACAGUGGGCCUGAAUACAACAAAAGCAGAAAAAUGUUUCCAUGAAAUAUAUAUAUAUACCAGACUUAAAGGGAAACUUAAACCUGCAGAGAAAUAGCAUAGCAUUGAUAUGACUCUCUACAGCAAGCCUGUGAGUGUGAAGAUCAAGCAUAUGACGUUCUACCCUCUUCAUAUCUUUCCCUCUGUCUCUGGCACUGACCAUAGCGUGCUGUGGGGUUUUUAACUCAAUGAUAUCUAAGUGACUGCUGUUGAAGUUGCCACCUGUCUGAUUUUCAAUUAUACAGUCUGGAUUUGGCAGAUUUUAGAAUAGCUGUGUAAGUUUGUAAAUAUCUGAGAACAAAACAAAAAAUCCAGGCAAUUGUUUAAAUGUGCCAAACACAGAGACAGUUCUGUGUGGGCGCUAUGAGCAUACAUUUUGUUUGUGGGAAGACACCAGAAGGAAGUUGUUAGUGGCUGAAGUGCAUACAUCUUGUGCUUAGCAAUGUUUCUUUUAUGAAGUCCCAGUGUAGUCACAGCCCAUCCAAUAAGGAAUUACUGCAUAAGCUGAAAGCAGGGAAAAACUGCUCAUCCGAUGUACAGAGCAAAACAGUGUUCAACUGAUGUUACUGUAACCAUCUGGAUUUGGCACUAGAAACCUAGUAGCCUUUUAAAAAUCAUCAAAAUGUCUACAAUUAAAAUCUUUUAAUUUAUAUGAGGAAAUAAAUUGAUAAGUGGCAAAGUAUUGUGCCAUUUGUGUCUUUUUUUUAAUCUGGAACUGUAGAUAGCUGUAUUGGAAACAACAAUAUCUGAUUGUGUGCUUGGGCAAGAGGUAGCUGAAUUGCAACAAUGUGUCAAUAAUAAAAAAUAAUGCAUUAAUAAAGCAAACACGACCUA